rnacentral:rRNA from 1 species
UACGUAGGGACCGAGCGUUGUCCGGAAUCAUUGGGCGUAAAGAGCGUGUAGGCGGCCACUUAAGUCCUGCGUGAAAUCUUGCGGCUCAACCGCAAGCGGUCGUGGGAAACUGGGUGGCUAGAGUGCGGGAGAGGAGAGUGGAAUUCCUGGUGUAGCGGUGGAAUGCGCAGAUAUCAGGAGGAACACCGAUGGCGAAGGCAGGUCUCUGGGCUGACACUGACGCUCAUGCACGAAAGCGUGGGGAGCAAACAGG